UCGCUCCUACGGGACGCAGCAGUAGGGAAUCUUCGGCAAUGGACGAAAGUCUGACCGAGCAACGCCGCGUGAGUGAAGAAGGUUUUCGGAUCGUAAAUCUCUGUUGGUAGAGAAGAACGUUGGUGAGAGUGGAAAGCUCAUCAAGUGACGGUAACUACCCAGAAAGGGACGGCUAACUACGUGCCAGCAGCCGCGGUAAUACGUAGGUCCCGAGCGUUGUCCGGAUUUAUUGGGCGUAAAGCGAGCGCAGGUGGUUUAUUAAGUCUGUUGUACAAGGCAGUGGCUCAACCAUUGUAUGCAUUGGA
rnacentral:rRNA from 1 species